GAUCAUGGCUCAGGAUGAACGCUAGCUACAGGCUUAACACAUGCAAGUCGAGGGGCAGCAUGGUCUUAGCUUGCUAAGGCCGAUGGCGACCGGCGCACGGGUGGGUAACACGUAUCCAACCUGCCGUCUACUCUUGGACAGCCUUCUGAAAGGAAGAUUAAUACAAGAUGGCGUCAUGAGCCCGCAUGUUCACACGAUUAAAGGUAUUCCGGUAGACGAUGGGGAUGCGUU
rnacentral:rRNA from 1 species